AUUGAACGCUGGCGUCUGGCCUAACACAUGCAAGUCGAGCGAGCGGCGGACGGGUGCGUAAUGUAUGGUGACUGCCCGAUAGAGGGGGAUAACUACUGGCAACGGUGGCUAAUCCCGCAUACUAUCGGAUAACCCAUAUGGGAUUGGCUAGUAGGUGGGGUAACGGUUCACCUGGGCGACGAUCUCUAGCUGGUCUGAGAGGAUGAUCAGCAAAACUGGGACUGAGACAGGGGCCAGACUCCGACGGAGGCAGCAGUGGGGAAUAUUGCGCAAUGGGGGCAAGCCUGACGGAGCCAUGCCGCGGGAAUGAAGAAGGCCUUCGGGUUGUAAAGUUCUUUCGGUAGUGAGGCGUUAACUACAGAAGAAGAACCGGCUAACUCCGUUCCAGCAGCCGCGGUAAUUC
rnacentral:rRNA from 1 species